CAGAGACUCUGCCCUUUGGGUAGACCUCCCACCCUGUGUCGUUAUACCUUUGUUGCUUUGGCGGGCCGCGGGGCUUAGGCCCUGCCCCUGGCUCCGGCUAGGGCGCGCCCGCCAGAGGACCUCAAAACCUGAAUGUUAGUGUCGUCUGAGUACUAUAUAAUAGUUA
rnacentral:misc_RNA from 1 species